GCAGAAAUCGAGAGUUCAAGGGUGCUGCCUAAUUCUCUUCCAAUAAGCAUCCCAAAUCAUAGAGACGAGUCUGCCAAGUCCAAGGAAACUACUCCUUUCAGUCCCACAAUUUCACAAUUCAAUAUCGUGUUUUGAGGUUAUCUCCGCAAGUUAAGGUCGGAGCGAGAAAUUCAAGUUAAAGAAAUUAAACGAACGAGGUUGAGCAGUGACGGUGGAGAAUGCUGAGCAGAGUUAUGAUUUUCCUUUUAUUUUAAGUAGAGGCUCUCGGCGGUGCAUGUCUCCAUACAUGUCACCGUGUUCAUUCCGCUGCGUACUAAGGUUCUAGAUGACAUCGACUGUUACUCUGAUAAUUAGUUAUUAAAAUGUAAGAUUUUCAUUCAAGUUCUGGUAAUUAAGAAUUGAUUUGAAAUUGUU